UCAUUUUUUAAUUUUUACUUUUGCUGUAACAAAAGCUUCUUUUGAUGAUGUUGGCUGGAACUCUUCUCUUCUUUGUGAGUUUUAAACUCCUUUGUUUUUGUCCUCUUUCUCCAACUUUGAAUUUAUCUUUUGCCCAAUAUUUGACAAUGGUUUACUUAUCUUGGAGGUGCCACGUGCUAAGCUUUUUGAAAGAAAGCAUUUUUAGUUUUACCACUUCCUGCAUGGAUUUUGUCCUCGCAGGGGAAAAAAAAUAUCUUCAACUGUAGUCAUGAAUCCUUUUUGUUUGCUGGAGAUUUUCCUUCCGAUUCCCUUUGUUUUCUUCUCUUCCCUCUCUACUUUUCAUUUUCUACUUUCUUUUGCAGAGUUUGUAAUCUUCAUUUACGGAGCAGCAUCAACACCCCAAGCUCCUAAAAUGGAGCAGCAGCAACACGCCCAAUUUUUGAAUUCUUCUAUUCUUUGAUGCGAAGUUUCUCAAUGAGCUCCUAGCAGUAACCAUUUCAAUUCUACAUGUGAGCUACUACGGUUGUUGUUCACACGGCGGAGGACUUCGUCUACGACCGCCUUCUUCUAUGCUGUUGAUGAGAAAAGGUAGCAUGCUGCUGUCCGGAUUGAAGAACGGCUUCGGGAACUCCGUGACGAUGGUUGAAGUGCCGGUGUUUGGGGGAGUUGAUAGAUUUAAUUGGAACUUCACGGGGUGGUUUUAGACCACCCCGAAGAAAUUCAUGGGAAUAACUGCAGUGGCACGUCCUUAACUUUGAAGCAGCAUCAAUCUCGACUUCGGCAGCUACUUCGGUUUUCCUGGCAACUUAGACAGCAGCUCGUGCCACUUUUGGUACUCUAUGUGAGCAGCACGUCCUUUCCUUCUAAGGCUUUUGCGGGUUGUUGAUGACAGCGAAGACGCAGCGAUGGUGGUGUUAAAGCCAUUGCAGCGUCCUGAAUUUGAUUGGAACUUCACGGGGUGGUUUAGACCACCCCGAAGAAAUUCAUGGGAUUAACUACAACGGCAUGGACUACUACUCGGCAUAGACGAACUUGAUGGGUAGAGAGGUCACGACAUGGCUGCAACAUCCUUUUGGACUUUCGUUUGACGUCCGUGACGGUGCUACAAGUGUCUUCACUGAUGGAGAAAGGAAGGUGACAGAGGCCUACGGCUUUAUUCUCUAGUUUGAAAUCGCCGUGAUGGAGAGCGAAGCCAACUGCUCCAUUUUUCUUUUCCUGUAGAACUGAGAGAAACCAAACAAAGAAAUCUAGAAAGAUAGAUAUGUACCUUUAAAUGUUUUGGUUCUUUCCUUUGCCGUGUCUCCUUUUUCCUUCUUUUUUCGCUUUGCUCUCCUCCCUCGUUCUUCUUCUCUGGCGAGAUCUCUCAAUUUCUCUCCUAAUUUCUGCAGG